GAUACAGAACGCUCUCACAUAGACGGUGAUGAGAUUCCUACAGUCCUCUGCUGAUGGAUGCUUUUGGGGGGACUGUGAGCAAACAGCUGAUUGCAUUAAGAGGCUACAGCAGAACUGCCUGGAGAAUUGGGAUAGCACCGCUGAGUUCACCAGCUGCCCUGUCUUCUGUGGAGAAUGGAGCAUCUGUGCAACAAGGAGUUGGGCUUUCAGGGCUCAAUCCAGUAAGCGAUGUCAUCAAAGGCUCUUAGGAAGGAUAAGGAGACAUCUGGAUGGGACAGUUCAGGUGUAGAAGCCACCCUCCAAAGCCGAGAAGAGAUCCCUGCCUGUCUUAUUUCGGCAGUUUGUUUCACACCUCUCCAUGCAGUGAGGUUCAGCAUGGUGGAUGCGAUGAGGAAAAUAGCCUUGUCGAAGGCACCUGUGUCACUGGACAUGUACAGGAGUUUGUAUAUGACAGACUACAGAUGGCACAAGGAGUACCAGCCGCCCACCGAGGAGUACUUGCAGGGAUGUUGCUGCACAAGCAGGAGCUGGAUCGGGGCUGGGCUGCCUACCAGCAAUUCAUCUUGGAGACAUGUCGGGCAAGGCAAUUUAAAGCUCAAGAAAACAAGAGCAUGGUCUUGGGCUCAUCUGUUUUGGGGGAAGGAACUACUGGGUAUCAGAGUACGAGGACAGCUACAGUGUUUUCUUACGGAGGCUGAACCGGUCAUCUCAAAUCCCCACUGCAGGGCUGUGUUCAGCCGUAAAGCCCAUCUCACAUCUACCCCACAGGCUGUCCUCUCAGAAAGCGAUUGCUGUGGACACAGCCCAGUGAGAGGUGCUACAGCUGUCCAUGGAUGUGUUACCUACACUAUUCUGUGAUUACAGCUCUGUGGCUCUCCAAGUUGUCUGUGUGAUAUUGUCUGUGGGAGACCCUGGAAGCCUGGAAGCACUUUAUCUUCCCAACCUACCAUUGUGGCUAUAGAGUAUUUGUGAAGUGCUUAGCAGAGACCCCUUUACACACAUAUUUUCAUUAAAUCCCCCAAGAACUCUGGCUCUUAUCAGUGUCAGGAAAACACUCUUGUGCAGGGCAAUCCUUGGAGCUAAAAUCACUCAGGCAGUUUCAAUUCAUGUACUCUAAAUAAAACUUGCCAAUAAACUUCA
rnacentral:lncRNA from 1 species